rnacentral:rRNA from 1 species
ACUCCUACGGGAGGCAGCAGUGAGGAAUAUUGGACAAUGGGCGGAAGCCUGAUCCAGCCAUGCCGCGUGCAGGAAGACUGCCCUAUGGGUUGUAAACUGCUUUUAUACAGGAAGAAUAAGUCCGACGUGUCGGAUGAUGACGGUACUGUAAGAAUAAGGAUCGGCUAACUCCGUGCCAGCAGCCGCGGUAAUACGGAGGAUUCGAGCGUUAUCCGGAAUCAUUGGGGUUUAAAGGGUUCGUAGGCGGGUUUGUAAGUCAGGGGUGAAAGUUUUACGGCUCAACCGUGAAAUUGCCUUUGAUACUGCAGAUCUUGAAUAUUUGUGAAGUAACUAGAAUAUGUGGUGUAGCGGUGAAAUGCAUAGAUAUCACAUGGAAUACCGAUUGCGAAGGCAGGUUACUAACAGAUUAUUGACGCUGAUGGACGAAAGCGUGGUAGCGAACAGGAUUAGAUACCCUGGUAGGACAGUG